UGCACAAUAAGUCUCCUAAACGGAGAAAUGUUGAAGACGUACUGUUUGAAGUUAAAAAAAUGUAAAUGGGCCUCAACUAAAGAUACCAGGAGGUUUAAUACUACAACAACGAACAGGAGAAGAUGUGUACCGAUAUGAUGUACCAGAGCACUGGAAUAAAUACGAGGUUGCAGAAUUAAUUUCUCACCGCGACGGCAAGCACCAGGACUGCUAGG